CACGCCGUAAACGUUGGGCGCUAGGUGUGGGACUCAUUCCACGAGUUCCGUGCCGCAGCUAACGCAUUAAGCGCCCCGCCUGGGGAGUACGGCCGCAAGGCUAAAACUCAAAGGAAUUGACGGGGGCCCGCACAAGCGGCGGAGCAUGUGGAUUAAUUCGAUGCAACGCGAAGAACCUUACCAAGGCUUGACAUAUACCGGAAACAUCUAGAGAUAGAUGCCCCGCAAGGUCGGUAUACAGGUGG
rnacentral:rRNA from 1 species